GGGGGGGGUCUGUAGCGGGGAGACUGCUGUGUUGUUCUGGUUUACGCACACACGCCGACACACACACAAGCACUGGGUGGACGGAGAUCGGUAGGAACGCGUGGCAGCUCGCGUUCAGGACCAAGGACAGCUCCACCCGCCACGUCCCGAGGAGCAGAGCGGCGUCUGUCUCACUUUUCGGCCUUUAGUUCAACAGUUUGACUGCGUGGAUUCAGUUUUUCUGAACAUUUUGUGCAUUUUUUUCUGGGCUCCUCAUUUGAUGUGAAUUUUAGUGUAUUGCACACUUGCACACGCACAGACCUGCUCCGCUAUAAUGUGUGUCCACAGGUCACUCAGGAAGGACAACUGUUGUUCGUUUCUUACUUUAAUGUUACUUAUGCCUUAUUCCAAAAUAAAAGCGGUACCAAAACAAUAGUGCAUGUGCCUUUGACAGGCCAGAUAUCAAGCUGCAUCACUGAGCAGGUGCUAAUGCAAUGUUUCUUAAUGACUAAAUCAUGUGAGAGCUUUAUCUUAACACUUAUCACCGGGACAUAAUUUACCUCACGAUCUUGUGUUUAUCAGCACUUUAAAGGCUUUUUGAUUUCAAGUCAAUCCAUCAGCGCAGGAUUAGCCAGAGUGAACUUAUGCUGCAGUCGAUGACAUAACUUGCCAUCAUUUCAAUAUUGUGUGUUUUUCGUCCCUUGAACAUUUUCUGUGGAUUAUUGUUCAAGUGAUGCAACAACAUCUAAAAGGAAUGAAAAGGGGUGGAGGUUUAGUAAUUUGACUCUGUUUACUUAAUCCAGAGCUAAAAGAGAGUUUUUUUGGUAUUAUGAGAGAAAAAAAUGCCUAAAGGUGUGCGAGAGAAUAGUUUGAAGCCUUUUAGUCUGGCAUGAAAGCCAUAAGAAAAGUGGAUUGAAGGUGACGUAACUGUCUGUGGUGUGUUGCUACUGGAGCGAUGUUUAUUCUGAGUGUUAUAUUUUUUUUCUUUUCAGUGGAGGCAUGAAUGAAGUAAAGCAGGGAACUAGUCAAGGAUCAGCACCCAGAAGCAUCCACACAGAAACAACCACAAACUUUAUUAGAUGUUACACAACCAGGCCGCACUCGGACCUCGUCGGAGCCAAGAAAUACGCUGGGGAGGAGCCUGAACUCACCAUCAGAACUUCGGCUGCCGUUCUCCACAGGUCGUGCAGCGACUGAGCUGCUGUUAAUAGAUGGAUGAGUCACAGUCAUGGGUGUUGGGGGACAGGCCUUCGACCCAGGACAUGGAUUAUCAGCUGGGACCAGGUCACGCACCGUCCCCAGUGGUGGCUGGAAAGCAGCGCUAAUGGGCUCAACGGCGGAGCGAAGGCGCGAUCAGCGGCAUCGAUCUGAGCAGCCGGCGUGCGUCCGAGCCGCAGCUAAUGUUUCCCUGCGUGGUCAGUAGGAAAUAUCUCAGCAUUAGACCUGGAGACGUCCUCAAUUAUUUACUAGCACUCACUUUCUCCCUGCUGCCUUCACUCACUCCCUCGCUUCACGUCCACCCGCCUCUCUCGGCCUCCGCCGCCGUUCGCUUCCUGUUCGGCUGCAGCGGUCGACGUUGGAGCCGCCGGCGUCUCUGGAGGUGAAGGCGUUCAGUCCAUUAUGUCUAAACAGGACCUUCAGUCGGGUCCGAGGCUCAGUUUGUAGGUAAACAGGCUGCGUUUCAUCACAUCUUCUGGGCUGUUUGUGGUGUUCGUCCGCUCCCAGGAGACCUCAGGGCGCCGCCAUGUCCUCCACUAACACAUCUGCAAACGGCCCGCGGGUUCUCGCCGUGCACAUGAAGCAGCGCCUCUAUAUUUACUCCCUAAAAGCCCCGUUGAGCUUUCAGGACGCUUUUGAACCAGGCCUCCCAACAUCACCUUCAAAGGGAUGGAGUUUAGUGCUGUGUGUUCUUCUGACGGCGAUUGAACGUUCGGAGUCGGUUCUUGUUCCUUCUACCGUUCAUUCAGUCCCCGUGACAGUAAUGAUUGCUGACAUACUCUGGCACUCAGCAGAGAUGAGUUUACAUAAUUUAGGAUCUAAGUAUGAAAUGGGAGAAUAACUUCUUUUCUGCUUCUUCCACAUUCUGUCUGCUGUAAAGUCUAGUUUUAUUGCAUUAGCCUCCAUGAAGAUAUCUAACACUAUUUGUUUAUUACGCCUCUGCAGGAGAUUUUAUUGCUUUUUUUAAAAACCAGUGAUCUCUUGAACAAAGAGAUUGGCGCAUUGUGCAGCAGGUAGAGGCCUCGGAGGCUCGGCUGCAGACGCACCUCGACGCUGAGGAGCUGUCAAUGCGCCUUGCAGGUGCCAGCUCCACUCCGCUGCCUGAAAGCCUUUGUGCACGGAUCAAAGCCAACGGCCUGCUAUUCAAAAUGCAACACGGCGCGUUUCUGCAAAGUCAAACUGACCGGUCUCUCAACCCUCCGCGGUUCAGUCUGUCAGGGGGGGGG